CCACUGAGCGAUAAACUUGUACAAGGCAGAAGUAAAUCAAGAAGGUGUGUGAUUCCGUGGCAUAUCCAAUGGUUAAAACCACCUUCAGAUGCCACUUCUUGCAUUCCUAGUGAAUUAGAAACCUAUCGCCUAUCAGAAAGGUCUUUAAAAAAUCAGCCACGAAGACUCUAAACCAUGCUCAAACUCUAGUAAAAAUCUCGAUCACCAUUGUGGAAAACAAUUCAUAGAAGUUCAUUGCUGUUUUAAUCAUUUUAUAACAAAGUUUCAUUCAUCCAUCCAUAAGCAAUAUAUUAAAGUAAAGAAGUCAAAUACAACACAAAAUUAAAGCCAACAGAAUACUAAAAGCAGAAGCAGUCUUAAAACCAUACAAGAUGAAACAUUCCCUAAUACACAUCCCUCAUCCCCACAGCUUCACGCAGCACAAAGCCAUAAGCAUCAUAGGCAUGUACCAGUAGAAAAAAGAUCCAUCUUGUCCAAGCCCGCAGCCUACUUGGAUCUCUGCCUCAUCUUUCUGCGCUUCCUCUUCAACCUCCUCAUACGCUUCUUCUUCCACUGAAAAGAACAAAAAAUAACAAAACAAUUAGCCUCCUCACAAUUUAGUCACCAAAACACAAGGCACCAGCAACAACACAAACACAACCACAAACACCUUCCGAAACAGAUCCCAAGAAUUCCACAGCGGUCACAAACUCAAAAACGCUUUACAUGUUUAAAUAGGCACCAAGUCUUGAAAGAAUCAAUGGAUCUCAAAUCAAACAAACCAAGUUACACGAAACAAAGGCACUAAGACCAGCAAAAGAAAAAACUGUAAGGCAAACUCAACAUCGCAUAAAAAUAGUGUCUAAACAGCAUUAAUAACAUGUAAAUUCCAAGAUUAACGAAAUCAUUUGGCAAAAUCUCUUGUUUCGUAAAAAAAGAAGCAAAAACAAGCAUUCUUCCAACCUAACAAAUCACAAGUUUUAGACAAGAAAAGCACACAGAUUUGAUUAGCUAGCUAAAAACUAAAACCCCAGAUUACAAACAUAGAGAAAGAUUCCACAGGAAUAAAAAAGAAACGAACUUGAAGCAGAGAUUUAAGAAACCAUGAUCACUAUAUAUACCAGAUUAGAUAAUCUAAACAACACCCGUUGCACAGAAUCAUUCUGAGUUAACACCCAUUAAGGGUAAUAAAGAGAGGAGGACAUACCUUAGCUCUCAUCCUGGAUCAGAGGUAUCUGUUUCCUUGUAGAUCUCUUUCUCAAUUAGCCGAUGUAGAGUGGAUGAGAUUCCUUGAGAGUGAAUUCUUGAGAGAAAGAUGGGGUUCUAUGCAUUUUAUAGGCACAGGGUUUUUAGGGUUUGAGAGUCACGGUUGAGGGGUAUUCUUGUCCAAUAUGUUUGCUCUUUUUUCUUUCUUUUCCUUUUCUCUUUUUUGUGAUAUUAUUUAGCAAUUUUUGAAGGAAUUGAACCUUGUCAAUUCUAUUAUGGUUUUAUGCUGUAUUUUUUAAUAUUAUGACGUCACCAUUAUCUAAUCUCUGGCAAAAUCAACAAAUUAAGAACUUCUAACAGUGGGAGUGGAAAAAAAUUAGGCUAGUUGCAACUUCCAGCAUUGUAUUAUUUUUAAAAUUCUUUUUUUACAGUGCUAGUUAUUUUUUUACUGUACUAUUUUGAAAAAAAAAAAACUCUUAAUAAUUAGUUAAUCUGUUUAUUUAGCAUGGCCUGUAAAAGAGAAGAAGCCCAUAAUGGGCCAGACCAAAUACUCAAGAAGAAGCCCAUAAUGGGCCAGACCAAAUACUCAAGAAGAAGCCCAUAAUGGGCCAGACCAAAUACUCAAGAAGAAGCCCAUUCGGAAAUCCAAUUCCCUCAUAAAUGCCAUUUCCUUCCCCUGGGAAAGGAAUUCCACUCCACUGAAACAGAGCGAAGGGAAAGGGCUCUCUUGCUGACUGGCAUCAUAGAUGGACCCAUCAGUUUCUACGGGUGAAAAUCCGGAUUCCAACGAAAAUAAUCCUCAAGAAUCUGAAUCUGAAUCCAAUAACAGCCGCAGUGAUGCAUUAGGCAAGGCUUUAUCAACGAUGCUGGCCAAUGUUAUUAAGGAUCUCGACUCUAAAGCUCAAGACACUCUCAAUAGCCAAGAUAAACUUAAUUCUGCUAUUGAUCGUCUUACUAGAGGUAAAUUCUUCUUCCUUUUUAAUCUCAUUAUGGUCUUGUAAUUCUAUGCUUUUAGAAAAGGUGCUUGAGAUUGUAAUUCUAUGCUUUUAGAAAAGGUGCUUGAGAUAAGAUAAGUAGCUUCUUCUCCUCGGCUUUUUUCUACUUGUAAUGUUUGCAAGUCACCUGGUUUUGCUAUAAAAUUUUAUUUUUAGGCCUUCUUGGGUUGCUAAAAUGAGACCCUUUUGAUGGGUUUUUGUUUCCAAAGUGAUUUCUUUUCUUUUGGAGAAAUGCUUUUGAUCAAUUUAGAAAUGGACUCAGUAUCAUAAAUGGUCAGUUUAAUCUGUCUCUGUAAUGUGAUUAGUAAAGAUUUUGCUACACAUCAGCUGUUUUUUUUAUGCUACUGAAUACACAACUGUGAUUUGAUGCUAGCAACAAGUGGAAUAGUUAUUAGACUUUCUCAUUUUCUUUAUUAAUUAUUUGAUGGAUUUAACAUGAGUUUUUUCAUGCCCACAUACCUGGUUAUCUUUUGGAGUAUGUAAUAUUUAAUAAACAAAUAUACGACGACAACAUCUAUAAUUAUAUUGAAAGAAUGGAGCAGCUCAUUGAGCUCCAGUAUCAAGCAGUUCAAAUCAAGACGGACAAAGCUUCCCAUAGUGCAUGCAAUUUGAAUUGGUCUUUAUUCUUUUUCUGCAUUGAUCCUUAAGGUGAUUGAUUAUUCUAUAUUAUGGAGCAUUUGAGUCUGGAUCAUCGAUAAAAAAAAUUGUGUUUUCAGAGCUUGAUCAGUUGUUGGAAGAUGCACCCUUGCCGUUUAUCAUGCAGCAUGCAGCAAAGAUUUCAGGUGUUCGAAAGAGAGUUUCAUCAUUGAAUUCUGUUCUAAAAUCAAUACAGAAACGUGUUGACAAUAUAGACCGACUGCUAUCUGUGGGCAUGCUUCAGGGUACCUAUAUCUCUUCUUAUGUUGCAUGAUCUAUUUUUAUAUCAUUCCUUUAAGUUUCUUCAUCUACAAAUUCUAUUGUUAUAUGUCAGUGCUUAUAUCAAAAUACUUUGCAAAUUUGUUUAUGUAGUUUUGUUGCUGUUGCGUCAUGUGUUUUGAAGUCAUAAAGUUGGAUAUAAUUUGCAGGGAAGACAACUAUGGACAGUUCAUCGCAACACUAGUACUAGUCUUGAAGGCUCAGGUACCUUAUUUAGUUAUGGUUUCCUAUUGUGUGGUUUGUGCAUCAUUUUCUGCCGUAAGGGGCAGUGACUAUAGGAUUAUGAACCGAUAUAUCUCCCAGAAGUUUUGCUGCUAAACUAAGGUUUACCAAAUGCAAAUGCAUGUGUUUUAUAUGUUUAGAUGGCAUCCAGUUCCACAAGUUAAGAUCAAGGGGGAAUGCUUAUCAAUCAAUAUCAACAAAACUCAGCCUUGACUCAAGAACAUGCUAUUAAAUUCCAUAGAAUGUUUUGAUUUUUGUUGAUUUAAUUGAAAUUACUCUGUUGAUUUAUAAAAUCCAAUUAAUGCUCCUCUCUAAUUCUACCUAUAUCAUCAGGUUAGCUUGUAAAGGGCAUCAUCACAUAAAGCUUUUUUCACAGAAGCCAUGAAAAGCCUCUCAAUUUUCACCAUUCUUCUGCUUGUCAUCUUCAUUCUUCCAGAUAAAUAUUUCCCAUUUGGUUUUAAAACUAUGUGCACACCUCUUUUCAAAAAAAUAAUUAGAAGUGGAGACCUAUAUAGAGGCUAUUUAUUUUUACAUUUGAAACUGUGUUAAUGUGUUUUUAAAGUGAAUUUGGUAUGAAAAAACAUUAAAUUUGUAUUUUUUUUUAGUGUUUUCUGAUGAUUUUGAUGUACUUGAUGUUAAAAAUAAAAACAAAUCUGAUUUUUUUUUUAUUUUAAUGUAUUUUUAAGGGAAAAAUACUUUUGAAAAACAAAUGUUAUAAAGCCAUUGCAGGCUUUGUAGCCAUCCUGCAUAGCAAUCAUGUUUUUUUUUCUAAUGACUAGCAGGGAAUAGAAACUCUCAUCUAACAAUAUUUCGAUGAUUUUGUAAACACAGAACUCCAUGUAACUCACACAAGCUUAUGGUAAUAUUUGUGGAUAUUGUUGAAUCCAUGCAGGCGAGGAGGAGAACGUUGAAGGUGGUUCUAGCCUUGUUAUGUGUGACGAGAAGCUAUGGGGAGGUGGCUGCAAUGACUCACAAUGCCAUGCUGCUUGUGUACAAAAAAGACCGGCAGAAGGUGCUCGUGGGUUUUGCUUGACAAUUGAAAACCCUAACGACUCUUGUAUUUGUCGUUACCCUUGCUAAAAAAGUUACCAACAUGUUUAUGCUUCAUUGAAUUUUAUCCGUCGAAGGAGCUGAUGUUAAACUGAAUGCAAUAAAUCUUCAUAAGAAAAUUGCUUUGUAAUGGUAAAUAUAAUUUAAAAUCAAUUCAAGAAUAUUUUUACUGUUUAAAUAAUAAUAAUAAUUAUUAUUACUAUUAUUAUUAUUAUUAUUAUUAUGUAAUGACAGCAACAUUUAUUGUUCUAAUUAUUAAAAAAUUAUAUAAAUCAAUUUUUCUCUACAUGAUAUCAAGAUCUUGUUGACCAAGUGAUCACGAAUUUGAAUUUUAUUAUUUUAUUUUAUUUGAUAAAAAUUAAAUACAAGAUACUUUAAUUUUAAAAAAAUAUCAAGCUUAUUUUGUUCUAUUUUAAUAAAAAGAAAUCUAUACAGGUUUGAAAAGUUUUCAUUUAAAAAUAUGAAGAAUAGUUAUAUGAAAGACUAUUAUAUGUUUUGGGUAAUACCAUUUACUAUUUUUUUUUUUUUUGAGUUAAUAAGAUUUUACUUGUUAGUUUUGGGUAAUACCAUUUACUAUUUUUUUUUUUUUUUGAGUUAAUAAGAUUUUACUUGUUACUUAUUUUUUAAAAAUAUUAUUUUCCUAGCAUUUUAUUUUUUAUUUUUUUAUUUAUUGAGAAAUAACAUAUUUUUUAUAGCAUGAAGAGUAAAAAAAAAAUUAGCCAUAGGCAGGCCUAGAACCCAUUCCCCCAAGAGAUUUUUCUGAAGUUGGGCUUAACAAACCCACGAAACCUCCAAACCCUAAAAACCCUAAUAUCCCUCUUUAAAUACACCCCCCGUUUCUUGUUCAGCCACACAAACCUGCCCACAGGUCAUCUCUCUGUUCUUGCUAGAUCAACCGUGUCUUUCUCUCCCAUCAACUUUUUCUUUGCAAUGUUGUGAUGCGUUUUGAUAAAGAAGAAAAUGAUGAUAGUAAUUGUCGCCCCAGUCUUACAAGCAUCAACUCUUUGAUGCUUGAUGGUGUUUGACUACUAAUAUAUCUGAUUCUCUUCUUCACAUAAUAUUUUUUUCCUUUGCCUUUUGAUUUAUUGUUCAAGUACUGCUUGUUGAGCAUGCAAGAAAGAAAAUAUGAUGAUGCUUAUCAUAGAAAAUUCUGUCAUCAAACCAUGAUGAUCUCAAAAACAUGCACUACCAUCUGAUUUCUCUUGCACCCUUUUGCUCUGUUCUUGUUUCUUUUUUACUAUAUAAAUCUCUUCUUGAAGAUAAAAACUUCUGGUUUUUCAAACGUUUUUAUGCAAUCUGUGAUGUAAUUACUUACCCAGUAACUGAUUUUACAGUGAUUAACAUAUUUUACAAUCACCAUCUUUCGACUGAGAUUGCACAAUUUGCAAGACAAAACUCUGUGAUUUGAUUUAUGUAUGCCUGAGGUAUCUAAUGCCUAGAUUUCAUUUUCAUGGCUAUGUGUUUCGUAAAGAAGGCAGAAAGAAAACUAUAAGAACAGGUCUUGCGACACAGUUUGCUUCUUAUAAUAAGCUUGCUGUUACUUUAACCCUGUUCACAUUCUCUUUCUCUGGAUAGGAAAUCUAUCCCAAAAAUUGACAGUUCUUCCGUGGAUUGGAAGGGUGAAAUUAGGUAUUGAAAAGAAGAAAUUGACCAUCCCAUUAUUAUUAUUAUUCACAAAAGCAUGUGAAAUUUCCUUGCUCAAAUAACAAAGUUAAGGUACAAAUCCUGUUAGAAUGCAAUCUUACCUCAUUCAAAAGGAAAUAAACGGGACAGGUUUUUUGCUCUUCAUUUACAAAGAACAAUUGUAAAUCUCCAGAGCACUUGAAAAGGAGAGUGAUGAUUCGGAAUUUGUUCCUUAACAUGUACUAAAAAUUGAUACUGCAAUGAAAAAAGGAACUGGAUGUGGCAGGGUUUUUUCUCCCCAGUCCUUGUCUCGGCAAAGAACAAUUGUAAAUCCUAUAAUACUUAAAAAUGAGUGAUGAUUCGGAAGUUGUAACUCAACAUGUACUGCAAUGAAAAUCAGUUUUAAAACUUAACAGGAGUAGAACACAAGGAACUAGAGUCUAGGAACAGGAUAUUGUUCUUCUUUACAAAAGAUGGUAUAGUUUGAGCUGGUUAAAACCAGUGAACUAGUUACAAUUGGACGGUGGCAAUACUAUGAUAUAUGUGGAGAAUUGUUGACCUAUUCUGGUAUUUUAGUUCUAUGCAAAUGCACAACGCAGAUUUCAAAACAAAAUGGACGUAACUAAUAGUUGCUGUAUCAACAUUUGAUAAAACCAGAGUUACCACCAGUUAUCAAGGUCCCUUCUUACAAGCCCUCGGCAGUCCCUUCCUUAACCUCUUUAAAUCUCGCUUGCCAUCCCUCUCGGUUUGAUUAGAAUCUUCAUCGCUAAUACCUAUUACAAACCAAGUAUCAGAAACAGAUUCGAUAUGGUCACUGGUCACCAGUAAACCUGGAACAAUUUAACAGCGUUUGACAUGAGCAUAACCAAAAGUGGUUAAAAUGGGGAUUGUUCAUUGAAUCAAGCAUCAUAUUUUAACUGCAUGGUGAACAUCAUAAAAAUAGCAUAUCAUUCCAUAACAUAUCAGAAGUGAUAGAGUGGAAGUACACCAAGAAUUGGAUACUAACAUGCUGCAAUCCAACCAUGCUUUCAUGAAUUGAUGCACUAAAAGAAAAGGGAUAAAAAAAGAGAUACGACGACGAGCAAUGUGAUUGCAAAAAACAAAAUUUCCAUAAGUGUAGGCCAUCCCAGAAGAUAUUUUAAUUAUCUGGCGCAGCACAAAAUUUAUUAAUAAAAGACUUUGAUGGCUUACCAUCUGAACUGAUCAUAGCAUCAUCGUCAACAUCUUUUAUAUCCUGUCUAUUUUGUUUUGCAGACACUGUGAUCACCCCACGAUCAACCUUUUGCUCUGGGAUUUCACAUGAUCCAUUGAAAGGACCCAUAUAACAAAACCUGUUACAAUAGAAGCUUACAGUUAAAAAAAGAAGCAUUAUCACCUGUUCAACAAAAACAAGUAUACAAUCCAUGGACACCAAAAUGCAUAAAAAUGCAGACCAAUCCUUCUCAUAAUGAAUGUAAGUACAUGCAUGUCUGCUAAUAUUGUUCGAUAAAAUCUCUAGGUAGCCAAUGCAUAAUACAAUCAGAAUAUAAUAUACAGCAGGAAAAGAAAAAAUUGUUGCCAACAGAUGACAACAGGUAAGGACACAGGAGGAGCAGAAGGCAUGUUAAGACAAUGUCCCAUCCAAUUGAGAAGGACAACAUUGUCACAUUAAGCAAAGAUCUAUUAUGGUGAGAUGAAUAUUGGGGACUCAGAAAAGACUUUUCCCUUUACAGCGGAGGAUACUCCUGGAGUACGAUAGCAAGCCUCUCCCUGGUUGACAGCAUCCAGGACAAGGGGGUAUCAGUCAACCAUCCACCCUCAAAAUUCAAAUUUGAUGAAUUGAUCUCCUUGUCCUGCCAGGUCGCAAACUAUAUUCUACCAAGGAGCAAUGAAAAUUCAAAACAUUCCCAACAAAAGAAAUGGAUCCAGCUUCUACCAAGGAGCAAUGAAAAUUCAAAACAUUCCCAACAAAAGAAAUGGAUCCAGCUCUCCUAUACAACCACAAAGUUACUACAAAAUUGAUCUGGCUGAUAGCAGGAAUCGCAGCCCACAUAGAAUAGCCAAAAAAAAGGCAAAAGACAUCCUCCUGUCUUUUGACACAAGUAUUUCUCCAAAAGAGUGUUGGAUAAUAAUGAAUCAUGCUAUACAAGACAAGCACAAGAAAGAGUAUUCAAGGAUAUGAAUGAAUGAUCUACUGUGAACAAAUGAACAGUAAAACAUAUGAUGAAAUGCAAUUACCAUUCUUCAGGUAAUGUUUUAACAUCAAACCCCGAACUCAACAUCCUCCACUUCCUGCACUUAUCACACUGCACCCAUUCGUGGUCAGGUUUGUACAGGGAACCACCUUUUUUCUGGAGAAGUAAAGAGUGCAUAAAUGAAACAUGUCUAGGGAAACUGGAAAAAAAAGAAGGAAAUCCAUAAAGAUUCAUUAAGAACACACUAUGAGUGAAUGUAAAAAAAUGGGGAAACUGACAAGAAAAAGAACUUCUUGCCGCACCAUUGAAUAUUUGAAUCAAUCCCCUAAUCUAAGAUUGUUUCAUUUUAAAAAUACAUGGCAACCAGUCAUUGCCAAUCAAAAGAUAGUUCAUCUUCCCAAUACAUAACCUCUAUGCUUGCUAGUUACUACUGAAAUUUGGAAGACUAAAGUGUCUAGAAGAAAUAAACAACAUUUUUCUCAAAUAGAUUAUAGAAGAAAGUAGAACAAGGCAACAAGCUGCAUGUCUAAAAUAGAACGUCCCCACUACAUAUCACCAAGCCACUUGAGUUAAUUUCUUAGUUGGAUAGCAACACAGUAAGCCUGUUAUGUCGCAUCAUCAACCCACCAUUCA
rnacentral:lncRNA from 1 species